UACGGAGGAUCCGAGCGUUAUCCGGAUUUAUUGGGUUUAAAGGGUGCGCAGGCGGAAGAUUAAGUCGGCGGUGAAAUUUUGCAGCUCAACUGUAAAAGUGCCAUCGAUACUGGUUUUCUUGAGUGUGGAUGAAGUAGGCGGAAUUUGUGGUGUAGCGGUGAAAUGCAUAGAUAUCACGAGGAACUCCGAUUGCGCAGGCAGCUUACUAAACUACUACUGACGCUCAGGCACGAAGGCGUGGGGAUCAAACAGGAUUAGAUA
rnacentral:rRNA from 1 species